rnacentral:rRNA from 1 species
UACGGGGGGGGCAAGCGUUGUUCAGAAUUACUGGGCGUAAAGGGCUCGUAGGCGGCCAACUAAGUCAGACGUGAAAUCCCUCGGCUUAACCGGGGAACUGCGUCUGAUACUGGAUGGCUUGAGUGUGGGAGAGGGAUGCGGAAUUCCAGGUGUAGCGGUGAAAUGCGUAGAUAUCUGGAGGAACACCGGUGGCGAAGGCGGCAUCCUGGACCAUUACUGACGCUGAUGAGCGAAAGCCAGGGGAGCAAACGGG